rnacentral:rRNA from 1 species
CGCCUGGGGAGUACGGCCGCAAGGUUAAAACUCAAAUGAAUUGACGGGGGCCCGCACAAGCGGUGGAGCAUGUGGUUUAAUUCGACGCAACGCGAAGAACCUUACCUGGCCUUGACAUCCAGAGAACUUUCCAGAGAUGGAUUGGUGCCUUCGGGAACUCUGAGACAGGUGCUGCAUGGCCGUCGUCAGCUCGUGUCGUGAGAUGUUGGGUUAAGUCCCGUAACGAGCGCAACCCCUAUCCCUGGUUGCUAGCAGGUAAUGCUGAGAACUCCAGGGAGACUGCCGGUGACAAACCGGGGGAAGGUGGGGAUGACGUCAGGUCAUCAUGGCCCUUACGGCCAGGGCUACACACGUGCUACAAUGGCGCGUACAGAGGGCUGCCAACUCGCGAGAGUGAGCCAAUCCCUUAAAACGCGUCGUAGUCCGGAUCGGAGUCUGCAACUCGACUCCGUGAAGUCGGAAUCGCUAGUAAUCGCGAAUCAGAAUGUCGCGGUGAAUACGUUCCCGGGCCUUGUACACACCGCCCGUCACACCAUGGGAGUGGAUUGCACCAGAAGUAGUUAGUCUAACCUUCGGGAGGACGAUUACCACGGUGUGGUUCAUGACUGGGGUGAAGUCGUAACAAGGUAACCGUA